rnacentral:rRNA from 1 species
UACGGGGGGAGCAAGCGUUGUUCGGAUUUACUGGGCGUAAAGGGCGCGUAGGCGGUCGUGACAAGUCACUUGUGAAAUCUCCGGGCUUAACUCGGAACGGUCAAGUGAUACUGUCGGACUAGAGUACAGAAGGGGCAAUCGGAAUUCUUGGUGUAGCGGUGAAAUGCGUAGAUAUCAAGAGGAACACCUGAGGUGAAGACGGGUUGCUGGGCUGACACUGACGCUGAGGCGCGAAAGCCAGGGGAGCAAACGGG